CCUGGUCAGUGCAUAAUCCUAAAAGCCGCUUACAAUCUAGCGGGGCUCCAAGGUUCCAAUGCAUCCCCUUAGGCGUGGUUCAGAACCAUUGGUAGCCUUCUUCCAGGUGACAAACA